rfam:Oryza sativa Japonica Group DNA, chromosome 7, cultivar: Nipponbare, complete sequence.
AAUAAAUGCAGCCAUGAGUUUCCACGUCUAACUUUGAUCAUCCGUCUUAUUUGAAAUUUUUUUAUAAUUAGCAUUUUUGUUUUUAUAAGAUGAUAAAACAUGAAUAAUACUUUACUCAUGACUUAUGUUUUUAAUUUUUUUUAAAAAAAAUUAAAUAAGACGAAUGAUCAAAGUUAGACGUGGAAAACCAUGGCCACACUUAUU